UUCCUUCUGCUGACUUUAGGUUUUAUUUGUUUUUCUAAUUCUUUUUGGUGGUGGGUUAAGUUGUUGAUUUGAGAUUUUUCUUCUUUUCUGAGGAAGGCCUGUAUCACCAUGAACUUCCCUCUAAGUACUGCCUUUGUGGCAUCCCAUAGAUUUUGAAUGGUUGUUUUCAUUACAAUUUGUUUUAAGGUAUUUUUUAAUUUCAGUUUUGAGUUCCUCAUUGACCAGUUGGAUUUUUAGUACCAUGUUGCUUAGUUUCCAUGUAGUUUCAUGGCACUGUGGUCAAAGAUACUUGAAAUAAUUUUUAUACUCUUAAGUUUGUUGAGGUUAGUUUUGUGCACCAGUAUGUGGUCAGUCCUUGAGAAUGUUCCAUGGGCAGUUGAAAAAAGUGUGUAUUCUGAUUUUUUUUUGGACAUAAUGUCCUGAAAAAUGUCAAGUAAUUCUUAAGCUUUCUAUUGUGUCAUUUAGGAUCUCUGUUGCCUUAUUGAUUUUUUGUCUAGAGAAUCUGUCCAUUGAUGUGAGUGGGGUGUUAAAGUCUCCUACUAUUAUUGUAUUCUCAUUAGUUUCUCCUUUUAUGUAUGUAUUUGUUGUAUGUAUUUGGGUGCUCCUAUAAUAGGGGCAUAUACAUUGAUAAGUGUAAUAACCUCUUCUUGAAUUGUUCCUUUUAUCAUUAAAUAGAGUUCUUUAUCUUUAUGGCCUUCAUUUAAAAAUUUAUUUUGUCUAAUAUGAAUAUUGUAACUGCUGCCUUCCUGUCUUUUCCAUUGGCAUGAAAUAUCUUUUCCCAUCCCCUCACUUUCAGUUUAUGUGUCCUUUGCCUUAAGGUGAGUCUCUUGUAGAAAAAGCAUAUUGUAGGCUCUUGUUUUUUUUAUCCAAUCUGCCACUCUGUGUUUUUUGAUUGGAGCCUUCAGUCCAUUGACAUUUAGGGAAACUACUCAUAAAUAUGUCUUUGUUGCCAUUUUAAACCUUGUUUUCCAGUUGAUUCUAUGUUUCUCCUAUGUUCCUUUCUUUUAUUGGUUGGAGGAUUUCCUUUUAUUUUAUGCUUGUGUCCUUUUUCUUUUUUGUGAAUAUAAUGUUUGUUUUUGAUUUACGGUUGCCCUGUUUUUCAAGUAUGUUAACCCCUUCCUAUAUCUGCUUGCUUUAGCCUGAUAAUCAUAUAAGCUCAAACACAUUCUAAAAAAAGUCUAGAUUUUCUUACUUUCCUUCCCCACAUUUUAUGAUUUUGAAGUCCUUUUUUUAACAUCUUCAUCAUGUUUGUCCUUUUACUGUUUCUUGUGUUUAUCAUCACUCUUACUUACAAUAGGUUUUUUGGGUUUUUUUUUUUUUUUCCUUUUAGAUCUGUAUACAGGCUUAUUUAAGAUAUGCUUUCCAAUUGUGAUUUCCUCCUCUUUAUUCUUACUUCUCUUUUAUUUAGAGAAUCCCUUUCAGUAUUUUCUUUUAGAAUGGAUUUAGUAUUGCUGUACUCUUUUAGUUUUUGUUUGUUGGGGAAAUUAUUUAUUUCUCCUUCUAUUUUAAAUGAUAUUCUUGCUGGGUAGAGUAUUCUAGGCUGCAAAUUUUUCCCUUUUAGAACUUUGACUAUAUCUUGUCACUCUCUUCUGGCCUGUAGUGUUUCUGUAGAGAAAUCAGCUGAUAGCCUUAUGGGGUUCCCUUAUAAUUAAUGCUUUGUUUUUCUCUUGCUGCCUUUAGAAUCCUCUCUUUAACUUUGCCAUUUUGUUAUUAUAUGUCUUGGUUUGGGCCUGUUUGGGUUCAGCUUGUUUGGGGCCUUCUGUGUUUCCUGUAUCUUUAGAUUUGAAAGUUUUCAGCCAUAAUUUCUUCAAAUAUAUUUUCAAUCCCUUUUUCUUUUUUUUCUCCUUCUGAAAUCCCUAUUAUGCAUAGAUUGGUCUGCUUUAUAUUAUCCCAUAGAUCUCUUAUAUUGCUUUCAUGUUUUUUCAUUUGCUUUUCUGUCUGCUGUCUUGAUUGGAUGACUUCCAUUAUUCUAUUUUCCAAGUCACUAAUUUGUUCCUCUGCAUUACUCAUUUUGCUCGUUAGUGCCUUUAACUCAGCUUCCACCUCUGCAAAUGAAUUUUCUAGUUUUUCUUGGCUCCUCCUUAUAUUUUCUAGUUCCUUUCUAAAGUAAUCUGCAUUACUAUUUAUAUCUACUCUUAAUUCCUUCAUAUUCAUCCUUAAUUCCUUCAGUAUUUUCACUAUUUCUUUUUUGAACUCAGUGUGUAUUAGACUGCAGAGGUCUGUUUCAUUGUUUGCUCCUUCAGGUGAAUUCUCCUGUUCUUUUAACGGGGAAUGGUUCCUGAGUUUCUUCAUUUUGCGUAUUUUUUUAUUUUUCUGUGGGUUUAGGGAAACCAACUACUGUAAUCUUGAAGGGCUGUUUCUAUGCAAGAGUGCCCCUUUGUAUUUUGUGGGGGCUUACUAUUUAUUUUUGGUGUGGGAGUUUGGAUAUUUGCUAUCUCUUUCUUCAGUGUGAUCAGGCUGUUAUCCCACUGAUAGGGUGCUGAGUGUGUUUCCAGGGAGAGGGAGGCAAUGGGUAGGGCUAGUAGUCAGUGCCUAGUUGCUGGGCUCUUGACAGUAGCAAGGACCUGUGGGAAGGUGGCUAAGGCUACUCCUAGUUGCAAGGCCCUAGGAAGUAAUGAGCCUCAGGUAGACAUAGACAGUGCUUAGGGUUUUUGGCAGUGGCAUCAGCAGGGCAUGUGAGUUCCCAGGGGAGUUAGAGCAGCAACGGGUGGUGCUCAGUUGCACUGCCCUCCUCUGUGGUAUCCUCUAAGGUGAUUGGGACCACAAGUGGUGUCUGUUCAUGGACCCCUAGUGGUGGUGGGCCACGCCCACCUCUGGAGUCAGAGGUAACUAUGGUGGCCACCUAUAGACCACACAAGAAGUUCACUGUCUGCUUAGCCCAUGCAGGAGAGGCUGUGCAGGCUGUUCCUAGUUUCAGCGUCCUGGGGAGUGACAGGGAUCAGGCUGGUGUAGGUGGUACCUAGAGCAUUUGGCAGUGGCAGCAGCUGGGCAGUUACAUUUCCAGGGGAGUGAGGGCAACAACGGGUGGUGCUUGGUUGCAGUACCCUCUUCUCUGUCAACCUCUGAGGUGCCUGUGGUUGCUGGUGGUCCCUGUUAACAGACCCAUAGUGGUGGUGGGCCCCACCCACCUCUGAUGUCUGAGAUGACUGCUGUGGUUUACCCCCAUCACCUGUGGACCAUGCAAGAGGUGUCAUGUUAUGUUUAGCUACCCCCUGCUCUUGGCCCACACAAGAGUUACCUGACCACCGGUAGCCCACAGAAGAGGCAUCCUGUUGCCCAUAGCCUGCACAAGUGGCACCUAGUCAUCUGCAGCCUGUGCCAGAGGUGCCCUGCCCUCUGCGAGUCCAUGUUCACAUGCAAGGAACAGAUUCUUAUGGCGGUCUGCCCCACCUCUCUCGCUCUCUGUAACAAUGGCAUUUCCCGCAGGUCCAGACCUCUUUCUAGGUUCCCUUGGCUGUGGCACUCAGCUCCCCAGCACCCUGGCACACUGCUACCUAGCCCCUCAGGCUGUCUCCACACAGCCAACACUAGUCCUGUACCCAGAACUGACCUCUGGAGCCUGAGUCUCAGCACCCAGCCCCCGCUUAAGCAUCUCAGGCUGUAACCACAGGGCGUGGUGCAGAUGAUCUGUGCAGCUCUCACUCUGCUUUUCCUUCCUCGGUCCAGCUGCUGCACUUUUCUCUGUGACUUUGAGAUCCCUCUCUGUAUUGGCUGAUCUCCUGGUCAGUUAGGUGGCUUCCCAGGGUGUGGGUUCCUUUCCUUUUUAGCAGCUCCCUCUCAGGAGAGCUAGUCCCAUCCAAUUCCUUUUCUCUCUUUUUUUUCCUUUGUUCUACCCAGUAACAUGGAGGGGUUUUUGCCUUUUUCGGAAGUUUAAGUUCUUCUUUUUUAUUUAUUUAUUUACUCUUUUUUUUUUUUUGGUUUAUUUUCUUCUGCCAGCAUUCAACAGAUGUUCUGUGCAAAUUGUUCUACAUGUAGAUGAUUUUUUUGGAUGAGUUUGUGGGGGAAUGUGAGUGCCACAUCUUAGCUUUCACCAUCUUGAUCCUUCCCCUCCAUGAAACAUUUCUGUCACAACCACACCCCACUUUGUAUCCUACUAUACAUACCCAUUAGUCUGUUACUUGCACAUAAAGCCUCCUCAUAAAUUCUUCCCGGUGGGAAAUGUGUCCUAGUCUGAGGACAGUGGCCUCCCCUCUAGGGUAUUUGUCUCAGAACUGUCUGAAGUUUGGAUGUUAGGGUUGAAGAGUAGAUGAUGGCUGGCAAUCUCUGUUAGUGUUCCUGGUAUUUCUUUACCAUAACAGUUAUGAAUUGCCCAUCAAUUAGGCCUUUUGUACCUCAUCUUCUAAUAGCCAGAGCAAUGAGUCUUUGUACUGAGAACCUCUUCUUUUCUUUUUUACAUUUUCCCCCAAUUUCCUUUGGUUAUUUUGAGAACUUAAAUUCCUAAGUCAUCUUCCUAAGUCAUCUUUUCCAAAACUGCAUAUAGGAGAGACUGCUAGUUAACUACCCCUUUAUUCUUUUUAUCUUCUUCAUCAAUAGAACCGUGAAUUUCAUGGAGGUAGCAAAGUGCUCAGCCAAAAAACUACACUGUCCAUAUUCCACUACUGAUAAGGAUGACAGUGUGACACAGUUCUUGUCAAUAAAGUGUAACUAAAGAUGUCGAGGGGGGCUUCUACCCCUUAAAAAGGGGUAACCUCAGGGCAUGUGCCCUUUUGCCCUAGUUUCUUGUCAAUAAAGUAUAACUAAAGGUGUUGAGGGGGGCUUCUGCCCCUUAAAAAGGGGUAACCUCAGGGCAUGUGCCCUUUUGCCCUAGUUUCUCCCCCUUCUUUCUGUGUUCAUCUUAGGAGAUGCUAGACAUAGAAUAGACAUGUAGCAACAAGAUGACCAUUGUGAGAAAUGCCAAGAGACUAGCUGGGGUCACAUCUGAAAAGGCUAGGUUAACAGGCAGACAGGCCCUCUGUCUAUAAUUUUUGCACACUCCCACCCUGCCACCCUAGGGCUGGGGGAAAGGUUCAUAUCUGCAGCUACUGGGUUUUAAAAUAAUAGUAUUAUGAAUAUACCAUGAGAUCAUUUUACAGCACACUACCAAUUGAAAUGUACACAUUUGUAUUUAAAGUUUUACGGAGGUGAAUUAGUUUUCUUUUUACAUUCUUCUUUAUUUUCAAUCAGCUAAUCCUGUUUUGUAUUAUUUGUAAAAGUGGAACACUGAAUCACAUUUAAGAUCUCCAGAUAUAAAGGAUUAUUACAGUAACUUAAAUUUCCCAAAAGGUCAUGUAUUAAGAAUUGUGCCUUACGGAGUUUCCGUUGUGGCGCAGUGGUUAACGAAUCCGACUGGGAACCAUGAGGUUGCGGGUUUGGUCCCUGCCCUUGCUCAGUGGGUUAACGAUCUGGCGUUGCCGUGAGCUGUGGUGUAGGUUGCAGACGCGGCUCGGAUCCUGCGUUGCUGUGGCUCUGGCAUAGGCUGGCGGCUACAGCUCUGAUUAGACCCCUAGCCUGGGAACCUCCAUAUGCUGUGGGAGCAGCCCAAAGAAAUAGC
rnacentral:lncRNA from 1 species